rnacentral:lncRNA from 10 species
CUGGAAGCAGCAAAUGCGGCUCGGCUUGCUUUUCUGCAUACCAGAGGCAAUGAUAAUAUUUACCGUGGCAGUUGGAGGACUUUGCUGCAGUCUUCACAGCUCUGGCACUCAGGUUGCAGUGAGAUCCAGGGAGAGCCAGAAGUGAGGCGCCCAGAGAAGUGUUCACUUGUGGCUCGAAGUCCAGGUGUGAUACUGCAUGAAAACCCCCCGAUUUGGCCAUCCAGAGCAUGGUAAUCAAGAAACGCCUAGAUGUUUCCAAAAAUGGAUUGGGUGUCCCUCCAAGUGUUCAUGAAAAGGUUGAAUUUCCUCUUGGUGGGGAGUUACAGAGGAGAUUAGCAGAUCAGGCUGAAUUAGACAGGGCCUCACUGUGUUACCCAGGCUGGAGUGCAGUGGUGCAAUCACAGCUCACUGCAGCCUCGACUUCGCAGGCUUAAGCACAUCUCCCACCUCAGUUUCCCAAGUAUCUGGGACCACAGGGACAUGGAUGAAGCUGGAAACCAUCAUCCUCAGCAAACUAACACAGGAACAGAAAACCAAACACCGCAUGUUCUCACUCGUAAGUGGGAGUUGAACAAUGAGAACACAUGGACACAGGGAGGGGAACAUCACACACCGGGGCCUGUCAGGGAGUGGGGGGCUAGGGGAGGGAGAGCAUUAGGACAAACACCUAAUGCAUACGGGGCUUAAAACCUAGAUGAUGGGUUGAUGGGUGCAGCAAACCACCAUGGCACAUGUAUACCCAUGUAACAAACCUGCACAUUCUGCACAUGUAUCCUAGAAUUUAAAGUAAAAUUAAAAAGUAAAUAAAUAAAAUAAAUGUAUGAAAAUAAAUCACUGCAGCAACUAAAAUCUUUAUAUUGUUCAGG